rnacentral:rRNA from 1 species
AGUCUGGUGCCAGCAGCCGCGGUAAUUCCAGCUCCAAUAGUGUAUACUAAAGUUGCUGCAGUUAAGAAGCUCGUAGUUGGAUUUCGGUUAAUGAAAAGUUAGUCCACUUAAUAUAUAAGUGCGUACUGACGUUUUAUUUCCUUCUUUUCAGAUAUACAACUUGUUGUGUUCUGAAUCUUUUACUUUGAGAAAAUUAGAGUGUUCAAAGCAGGCGUAACCAAGCCUUUGAAUAUAUUAGCAUGGGAUAAUGGAAUAAGGCUUUUUGCCUUAUUUUCGUUGGUUCUUGAGGCUAAAGUAAUGAUUAAUAGGGAUAGUUGGGGUCAUUAGUAUUUAAUUGUCAGAGGUGAAAUUCUAAGAUUUAUUAAAGACUAACUACUGCGAAAGCAUUUGACAAGGAUGUUUUCAUUAAUCAAGAACGAAAGUUGGGGGAUCGAAGAUGAUCAGAUACCGUCGUAGUCUCAACCAUAAACUAUGCCGACCAAGGAUUCGGGGGUGUUAUAUGAAUGACCCUCCGGGCACUUAUAGAGAAAUCAUAAGUAUUUGGGUUCCGGGGGGAGUAUGGUCGCAAGGCUGAAACUUAAAGGAAUUGACGGAAGGGCACCACCAGGAGUGGAAUAUGCGGUUUAAUUUGACCCAACACGGGAAAACUUACCAGGUCCAGACACAGUGAGGAUUGACAGAUUGAGAGCUCUUUCUUGAUUUUGUGGGUGGUGGUGCAUGGCCGUUUCUAGUUGGUGGAGUGACUUGUCUGGUUAAUUCCGUUAACGAACGAGACCUAACCUAUUAAAUAGUUACACAUACUUGGGAUUCGUCCUAAUAGUAUGUGGUUAACUUCUUAGAGGGACUCUUCACGUAAAGAGUGAAUGGAAGUUUGAGGCAAAAACAGGUCUGUGAUGCCCUUAGAUGUUCUGGGCUACACGCGUGUUACACUGAUAUAUUCAACAAGCAUUAUAAUUCCUUACCCGAUGGGGUUGGGUAAUCUUUUAAAUGUAUAUCGUGAUGGGGAUAGACCAUUGUAAUUAUUGGUCUUGAGCGAGGAAUUCCUAGUAAGUGCAAGUCAUUAGCUUGCGCUGAUUACGUCCCUGCCCUUUGUACACACCGCCCGUCGCUCCUACCGAUGAAUGUCCGGUGAGGACUCAGGAUGACCGUGGAUUUUGGUAUAAUAUACCAUGCCAUUGUUUGUCAGAAUCUGUUCAA